CUCUUCUCCUACUCUCAGCGGAGCGGGUGGAAGCUUGAUUUCAUGCCGUUUAUUUUACUUUGACUGUUUUCAAACCUAUCAAGUUAAUAUUGUUAAUUAUAGAAAACGUGGGGGGAAAAGGGAAAAGAUAGGUAGAAAAUGAUUCUUAGCAUCCCCAAGCAUCUUUAACCUUUCAUUAUGUUUACUUCCAGCCUUUUUCAUGAAACAAAAUUGUGGUCUGACUGUAUACAGUGGUAUUAACUACAAAGAUUCCUAAGAAGGGACAAAAAGCACCUUUUAGCUUCAAGGCUAAUUUAGAGGAACAGGUAGAAGAGGAAAAGUUCAAACAAUGGACAAAAUGAGUGAUUCGUCCACGGUAUCUAAUCACUGUUCACAUCAUCCGGAGGAAACGGGCUCAGAGUCAUGCCCAAGGCCGCGCAUAAAAGAGUGGCAGACUGGGGUUUCAAACCCAGGCUCUAAACUGUGAACCUGCAAGAUGGUGGGAGUGGGGAAGACAGUGAAAAGUUGUGCAGGGAAUUCACAGAACUACAGAACCCACUUUGUACUUCUGGAACUGCUGAGUGGGGAACUAGUUCUAAGGAACAAGGUUAGUGCCCCAGCAGUUGGAGCAGUUUGGUGAGAGAGUGGCACAAAGCUGACACUGGUACAUGGCCCUGGCCACUAGUUGUUAAGUUCCACCCAUCUCCAGCACUGCCCUCCCCAUGAGUGACAGUGAAAGGUGGGAGGGACGUUACAGGACUGUAUCAGGCAUUAGACCUGCUACUCCAAGUGCAGUCUGGUGCAGUCUGCAGGCCAGCAGCCUCCCUGCUGUCCAGCACUUUCCGCAUCACUUGGAAGCUUGAUGGAAAUGCAGAAUCUUGGACCACACUUUAAAGCUUCUGAAUCGGGCGGCAUGCGAUGCCUCAUGCUUGUAAUCCCAGCACUUUGGGAGGCCAAGGUGGGUGGAUCACCUGAGGUCAGGAGUUUUGAGACCACCCUGGCCAACAUGUUGGCCCCGUCUCUACUAAACCCCAUCUCUACUAAAAGUACAAAAAUUAGCCGGGCAUGGUGGCGGGCGCCUGUAAUCCCAGCUACUUGGGAGGCUGAGACAGGAGGAUCGCUUGAACCCGGGAGGCAGAGGUUGCAUUGAGCCAAAACUGUUCCGUUGCACUCCAGCCUGGGCAACCAAGAUGUCCCUUCUUAGGAACCUUUGUAGUUAAUACCACUGUAUACAGUCAGACCACAAUUUUGUUUCAUGAAAAAGGCUGGAAGUAAACAUAAUGAAAGGUUAAAGAUGCUUGGGGGUGCUAAGAAUCAUUUUCUACCUAUCUUUUCCCUUUUCCCCCCACGUUUUUGAAACUCUGUCUCAAAAAAUUUAAAAAAUAAAGCUUCUACAUCAAAAUACGCAUUUUAACUAGGUCCCUGGGUGAUUCCUGUGCACAUUGAAGUUUGAGAAGUGCUGUUGUAAAUAAAGUAAGUCGUCCUGCUCGCUUGGUACAGCAGGUGGGAUGGUAGAUGCGAAGGGCGCUUGCAGAACUGGAUGAUGGGAAGACAGGCAGGCAGGGAGCAAGGUCGGUAAGGAGGAUUAAAAAAAAAUCAAGGCUGGGCGCGGUGGCUUACGCCUGCAAUCGCUGCGCUUUGGGAGGCCAAAGCAGGCGGAUCACCUGAGGUCGGGACUUCGAGACCAGGCUGACCAACAGGGAGAAACCCCGUCUCUACUAAAAAUACACAAUUAGCCGGGCAUGGGUGGCGCAUGCCUGUAAUCCCAGCUACUGGUGAGGCCGAGGCAGGAGAACUGCUUGAACCCGGCAGGUGGAGGUUAUGGUGAGCCGAGAUCAUGCCAUUGCACUCCAGUCUGGGCAACAAGAGCGAAACUGCGUCUCAAAAAAAAAAAAAAAUUCCUACGAGUGUCAGAAAAUAUGAUCUGCCACAAAGGAAAACCAGGAAAUCAGAAUCUGGGAGCUAAAGGAAGAAGAAAUAGGUGAAGCAGCUUCACUCCUUAGCCCAGCGAGACCACGAGCCCACCGGGAGGAAUGAACAACUCCAGACGCGCUGCCUUAAGAGCUGUAACACUCACCGCGAAGGUCUGCAGCUUCACUCCUGAGCCAGCAAGACCACGAACCCACCAGAAGGAAGAAACUCCGAACGCAUCUGAACAUCAGAAGGGGCAGACACCAGACGCGCCACCUUAACAGCUGUAACACUCACCGCGAGGGUCCGCGGCUUCAUUCUUGAAGUCAGUGAGACCAAGAACCCACCAAUUCCGGACACACCUGGAUCUCUUUUUCCAGUAUCACUAUCAGUUAAAUCCCGCCUCCCCCCCCCGAAAUUUAUAAUUUUAUAAACAGGCAACCAUGAGAUAUAAUUAGGAAAAACUAGUGACACUGCUUUAUUUGAGAACAGA
rnacentral:lncRNA from 10 species